AGACCCUGAGGAGACUGAGCCCAGCGCCAGGCGACCGGUCCCCGCCGCCGCCGCCCCUGCGCGGGAGAUCCCCCCUGCUUAGUCCGCGCCCGAGCCCCCGUCCGUGGGAACAGACAAGGGGCCUCCGCAGCGCCUCACAACCCCCGACCAGGUCCAGCGGCGGGGGACUCGGCCGUGGAGGGCGCUGUUCGGUCUGGAUGGCUCCCCCCAUCAGCGGGAGGCUACACCCCCCACCAGCAGGGGCAAGAGGAGCAGCGGGAUGGGAGCAGGCCAACGUCCUGCGGCCUGGUUGAGCUCGCACUGACAAUCGCAGGUUUCGGACACGGGGGUCGCUUUGGGGGGCCUGGGGGCGCGGGGACCAGAGCUCGGGGCGGGGCAGUCCAGCCAGUUGGGCCCCAUGGGCUGGGGGGCGUCCGGCUCGGUCUUGAUGCUGUUCUUGGGGAAGCGCCAGUAGUGGGCGCCCUUGAAGAAGUAGGUGUCACCUGGAGGAGCAGAGCUUGAGUCCCGGUCCCUCCCCGCCCCGCCGCUCCCUGAUGCCCAAGGACCCCCAUCCCCGCAGGGUGGCCUCCAUGUCCCCAUUCCCCACAUCCCUCUCCCCACCCCCAGGCCCAGUAACCCGCAGGUCACCGCGCUCCCCACCUGCGUUGCUGACGGUGACAUCGUCAGGGGAGGGGGGCGCGCCUUCCCAGAGGCUCAGGUCGCGAGGGUAGCCGGGGUCCGGGCGCGCCGCCGCCUCGUCGUAGCGCCAGUACUGCCGGCCGCGGACCAGGUAGGUCUUCCCGUUCUGUGGCCACGAGAACACGGCGUCCACCUCCUCUCCCGGGGGCAGCCCCAGCUCCGUGAGCGGCCGCGCCCCGCCCUCCAGCUGCCGGUCCUGGAACACCCAGAACUGGGGCCCUGCAGGGUGGAGGCCGGGAGGUCAGGGGUGGGCUCCCCGCGCCGGCCCCAGCGCGCCCCGCCGCCGGCCCCACUCACCGCUAAAGAGGAGGAUUCGGCCGUCUCGGUGCCGAGCAUAGGCGGCCUGCACCACCCUCACCUGGGCGGGCAGCCCCUCCCAGAAGCGGUGCAGCCGUGCGGGUCGCGGGGACACCAGCUGUCCGGAGGGCUGGAGGCGCCAGAACCAGGGGCCUGCAGGGGACAAAGGGGUUCGCAGGAAGGCAUGAGACAGCAGGAGGUCUCCUCCCCCAGGGUGUGUGGCUGGGUGGGGAGGGGUCCCAUCUGGAAAUCAAGGGCGCAAUGGAUCUAGGGUGACCAGCCCAUCCUGGCCCGCCUGAGACUUUUCCCUUUUUAGCGCUAAAAGUGCCAGGGCCUUGCCUGGUGGCUCAGACCUGUAAUGCCAGCACAUUGGGAGGCUGACACCGGAGAAUCACCUGAGCCAGGAGAUUGAGCCCAGCCUGGGCAAUAUAGUGAGACUCCAUCUCUACAAAAUAAUAAAAUAAAUUACUAGCAAGGCGUGGUGGCAUGUGCCUGUGGUCCCAGCUACCAGGGAGGCUGAGGUGGGAGGAUCGCUUGAGCCCAGUAUUUUGAGGCUGCAGUGAGCCAUGAUCACACCACUGCACUGCGGCCCAGGCAACAAAGCAAGACCCUGUCUCAAAGAAGAAAAAAGUUCCGCUUCCAGGGUAAGCCCACAGCCCCAGUGGGUCACUGGAAGUGGGCAGGAAACCAACAUAUAUGAGGCCAAGUGAAAUGACUCACCUUUGAAGAAGAAAGUUUCCCCUCGGAUGUUGGCGAUGGCGUCAAAAUUGCCCUCACAUCGAUCAGGGAUGGGGAAGGAUGGGCUGGGGAGGAAAGGAGAGGUGAGUAGAGAGGGGGGUUUGUUUUCUCCAAGGCAGGGACCCCCACCAUCCCCAUCUCAGAGGACACUGAGGCUGGGCAGCUGGUCACCCAAGGUCUCCGAGUUGGUGGGGGACUCACCUGUGUGUGGGCGAGGCCGGGGGCUGGGGCGGAGGAGCCAGGGGUUUCCUUGUGGGCUUGUCAUAUGGGGUUUGGGGCGCCUUCCCUGUGAGGAAAGAGUCAGGCAGGUGUGCGUCCCCUGGCCCUGCUGCAGAGGACACUGGAUGGGGCAAUGAUGGUUUCGCGGCAGGUCCCUCUCCCCCUACCAUAGAGUUGCUGCAGGCCAUCGCGGUCAUCCUGAGACAGGCGGUACUUGUCAGGGUCGCCCACCGGACCCUGGUAGAAGGGCCUCAUAAUGGAGUUGGGGGCUGAGGAGUGGCCCAGGCCCAGGGCGUGGCCAAACUCAUGGACAGCCACGGCAAACAGGUCGGUCCCCUCGCCGUCUGCAGGAGAAAGUGGGUGAGAGCUGCGGCCGCCCCUGCUUGGGGAAAGGGGCCACAGGAAGGCCCUGCGAGUGCAGCUGGGGCCAACAGGAACAGCAGGACACCCUCCAGAGGUGGCCCCAGCCUCCUCUGCCCAGCCCUUCCUGAACUCUCCAUCAUCCCUGUCUCCAGUCACUCAGUCAGCAUGGCUGUGAUGGACACUGGACCACAGGGCUGAAAAGAUCCAGAGAACACACAGAGGAAUAGGCCACCUUACACACCGAUGGGGCCCCUCCUCUGGGAAGGGAGCACUUUGUGCACAGAAGUUUGAGGGGGAGGAGCUGGGUGUGGUGGCUCAUGCCUGUAAACCCAGCACUUUUGGAGUCCCAGGUGGGAGGAUCGCUUGAGCCCAAGAGUUCAAGACUGGCCUGGACAACAUAAGGAGAUCCCCAUCUCUACAAAAAAAUUUUAAAAAUUGGCCAGGAGUGGUGGCGCAUGCCUGUGGUCCCAGCUACUCAGGUCCCAGGCUGAGGCAGGGAGGCAGGAGAAUCGCUGGAGCCCGGGAGGUGGAGGCUGCAGUGACGCAUGACCAUGUCAUUGCACUCCAGCCUGGAGGAC
rnacentral:lncRNA from 1 species